CCGUCGCAACAGGAACCGAUUCCGCCUCGCAGCCGGGCGUCGCCACCGCAUCCGCCUCCCUCGCAGCGGUCGUCGCCACCGCAUCCGCUCCCUAGCAGCCGGCUUCGCCACCGCAUCCGGCCCCUCGCAGCCGGCGUCGCCACCACAUCCGCCUCCCUUGCAGCCGGCGUCGCCACCAGACCCCCGCCUCCCUCUGAUGGCGGCGAUAGACGCGAGGCUGCCGAUCGCGGCAGAGGCCGCCGAGCGCGGUGCUGCCGGCGCCGCCGCUACCGCCGCCGCCGAAGCGGCAGCGUUUGAGGACGGGAAUCCAAACUACGGUGAUGGGCAAGAGAAAUUUGAUGCGGUCAUAGCUGAUCUUCUCCUGAUCCAGGAGUUGGAUAAGAAUCCCCGUGUCCAAAAGAUGAGUUGUAUCGUUACAAUGUGCUCCCCGAGGAGCUCACUGCACUAGGGCCAAGGGUUAGAGAAUUGGGUGAUGACCUGUACGAAGCCCUUGGUCUCUCUUCCAUGGACAGGCGAAGCUUUGUCCAAAUGAAGCUCAAGCAUCAGGCCCACCAUCCAAUUGCCCGAACUUUACUGGAGAAAAUCAAUAAAAAUAUGGAGAAACUUGAGACGAUACCCUUAGAAAUGGAACGCAUUAAGGAUCGCCCGGUGAUACAUCUCAAGGAAUAUCUCUUCAAGGAGCCCGAGCUUCUCCUGAAACCCAAGGACCCCAAGAAACGAAAGAUCAAGCGCUAGAAGUGGUUGAACGCAGAGAGGAAACAGUAGAAAAAGAUAAUAGAAUUAGGACUCGUGAAUUGUGGUAAUAGCAGUACCAUUUCCUGAAACAUGCCUACAACUGUACCUGAGAGGAAACGGUAGAGUAAAGGGAGUAGAAGUAGCGACCUGUAAAUCGUAGUAACCCAUUACCUGAAACACGUCUACCGAGUGACAGACAUUAGAUGGUACAUGCAUGGUGUUAUGAGAAUUGUUGCUCUGACCGGUGGUUC